AACGAACGCUGGCGGCAUGCCUAACACAUGCAAGUCGAACGAGACCUUCGGGUCUAGUGGCGCACGGGUGCGUAACGCGUGGGAAUCUGCCCUCUGGUACGGAAUAACUCAGGGAAACUUGAGCUAAUACCGUAUAAUGACUUCGGUCCAAAGAUUUAUCGCCUGAGGAUGAGCCCGCGUCGGAUUAGCUAGGUGGUGAGGUAAAGGCUCACCAAGGCGACGAUCCGUAGCUGGUCUGAGAGGCUGAUCAGCCACGCUGGGACUGAGACACGGCCCAGACUCCUACGGGAGGCAGCAGUGGGGAAUAUUGGACAAUGGGCGAAAGCCUGAUCCAGCAAUGCCGCGUGAGUGAUGAAGGCCUUAGGGUUGUAAAGCUCUUUUACCCGGGAUGAUAAUGACAGUACCGGGAGAAUAAGUCCCGGCUAACUCCGUGCCAGCAGCCGCCGCCG
rnacentral:rRNA from 1 species